AGCUGUCGAAGUGCAUUGUUUAACGAAGAAGAAAUACCAAGAAAAAUGCAUGUAUUAUGUAGUUCCAGCGAGAAACGACGAAGUAAAAGUAAAAUAAGUAAUAAUAUUUGCCGGCUUUCAAUCUAAUUUAAUAAUUCAGAAAUAAUUGAGACAUUUAACUAUAUCAAUACUAGAAAUUUUAAGGUUAUAAAUAGACAGAGAGAAUUCCUGUCAGCUCUCUGAAAGCAGUAUAAAAGGAAAAUACGUUCAAAUGUAAAAUGUUUAGACGGUUUACUAAACACAUUCACAAGUGUACA